AACGAACGCUGGCGGCAUGCCUAACACAUGCAAGUCAAACGAGACCUUCGGGUCUAGUGGCGCACGGGUGCGUAACGCGUGGGAAUCUGCCCCUUGGUUCGGAAUAACUUCGGGAAACUGAAGCUAAUACCGGAUAAUGACGUAAGUCCAAAGAUUUAUCGCCAAGGGAUGAGCCCGCGUAGGAUUAGCUAGUUGGUGGGGUAAAGGCUCACCAAGGCGACGAUCCUUAGCUGGUCUGAGAGGAUGAUCAGCCACACUGGGACUGAGACACGGCCCAGACUCCUACGGGAGGCAGCAGUGGGGAAUAUUGGACAAUGGGCGAAAGCCUGAUCCAGCAAUGCCGCGUGAGUGAUGAAGGCCUUAGGGUUGUAAAGCUCUUUUACCCGGGAAGAUAAUGACUGUACCGGGAGAAUAAGCCCCGGCUAACUCCGUGCCAGCAGCCGCGGUAAU
rnacentral:rRNA from 1 species